UCCACCAGCCUGCGUCUGCCAGGAGGGUGCAGACAGGAUGAAGAUGCUGGAGUUGGAGACCGGAGACUGAUGGUCGGGUCACAACAAGAUCCUUAUUUGCCAGAUGAACGGCUGAAGCUCAGUUCGUUCUGCCUCACCCUAAGAGAUAGCAGCAGACACCUUCCAGAGAGACACCCCCCAGGUGAACCCUGCUUGAGUGAGCACCUCCCUGCCCUCUCCUCACCCCAAGGAGUAGGGAAACCGAGGUCUGAAGUCUGGGAGAGUCUGGCUUCUCCCUCUCAGUACGGAUGCUCCUGACCCUCUCUAGCUGGGUGGGGUGAUGGAGAUGAGAAGCUAAGAGGACAGAGCAGAAGCCUGGUGAGCAAGGCACCCCCAUAGUCCACCUUAAGCUGAGCUAGAAGAAAGGUCACGUCAUUUGGAAUCUCCUGAUCUCAGUUCUCGGGGCUGGGGACAUGGCAGAAGCAAGGGAUGCCGGAUAUACCUCUUCCAUCUGUCCUCUGUGCACCAGAGAUGGCCAGAAUGCUCCUGGUGGCAUGUGAGGCUCUGGGGAGCUACCACAACACAGCCUGGCUUCGGAUAGGCACCCUAGGCCACGUAACACCAGAGCGUGCCGGAGAGAGGCUCCUUGCUGCAUGCCGACCAGGCCGGACCCGGAAGGCACGGAGUUCUGCUGAGCAGGCGCUGCUCCAGCUGCUUCUGCAGAUCGGCUUGUGAUGAGCUUCCCUCCCAGAGCAGCGUUCCACUCGGGCAUUGACCACAGCGGCUGCAUUUACAGCCAGAGCAACCAUGCCAUCUGGGUAUCCCCCAGCCCCUCUCACGUGAUUGGUCACGAGGCCAAGGGGAAAGUGCUGAGUUAUCUGAAAUUGUUUCCUAUGCCCUACGAGCUCAGUUGGUAGAGCCUGAGACCCUUUAUCUUAGGGUCGUGGGUUCGAGCCCCACGUUGGGUGCCAAAAUGUUGUUUUUAAAAAUGAAUGAAAAUUCCAACCGUUCUAUUUUACCAAUAAAAACUCAGGAGCCAGAUCUUGGGGUGAAAACCUGCUCGCUCAGAGAGACAGAGAAAGCACCCAGCUGACCUUCCUUCUCAGCUCAGGUCUGGAUGGAAAAAACCCAAAAGGCUCACUAGCUCAGCCAACAGCCCAGGAGGAAAAGGCCAAAAAAACCAGGGCCUAAGCUAAAAUCCCAACUCCAAAAGCCUUCUCCACAAUUUCUAAAUCCCCCUCAACCUAAAGUCCCCCCUACUCUUUAAUCCCUGUCAGUCGGUGUCUUGCUCUACCUCUUGACCUAGGGUUAACUUUAUUAAAUCCUGUGGACAGAGAGCUCUUGGAUUAAAGGCAUGUUCUGGGGCUGGGUGAACCACACCACAAUCACCAGUUCACAAUAAACAAA